AACGAACGCUGGCGGCAUGCCUAACACAUGCAAGUCGAACGCGUGGCUUCGGCCACGAGUGGCGCACGGGUGAGUAACGCGUGGGAACCUGCCCGGCAGUACGGGACAACCGCGGGAAACUGCGGCUGAUACCGUAUACGGCCUGAGGGCGAAAGAAUUUCGCUGUCGGAGGGGCCCGCGUCGGAUUAGGUAGUUGGUGGGGUAACGGCCUACCAAGCCUGCGAUCCGUAGCUGGUCUGAGAGGAUGAUCAGCCACACUGGGACUGAGACACGGCUCAGACUCGUACGGGAGGAGGCAGUGGGGAAUAUUGGACAAUGGGCGCAAGCCUGAUCCAGCAAUGCCGCGUGAGUGAUGAAGGCCUUAGGGUUGUAAAGCUCUUUCGCCCGCGACGAUGAUGACGGUAGCGGGAGAAGAAGCCCCGGCUAACUCCGUGCCAGCCGCCGCCGUAAAAC
rnacentral:rRNA from 1 species